UACAUGGGGUGCAAACGUUGCUCGGAAUCAUUGGGCGUAAAGCGCGUGUAGGCGGCCCGGUAAGUCCGCUGUGAAAGUCGGGGGCUCAACCCUCGGAUGCCGGUGGAUACUGUCGGGCUCGAGUACGGAAGAGGCGAGUGGAAUUCCUGGUGUAGCGGUGAAAUGCGCAGAUAUCAGGAGGAACACCAAUUGCGAAGGCAGCUCGCUGGGACGUUACUGACGCUGAGACGCGAAAGCGUGGGGAGCAAACAGG
rnacentral:rRNA from 1 species